AUUGAACGCUGGCGGCAGGCCUAACACAUGCCCGUCGAACGAGUGGCGGACGGGUGAGUAAUGUCUGGGAAACUGCCUUAUGGAGGGGUAUAACUACUUGAACCUGUAGCUAAUACCGCAUACCAUCAGAUGUGCCCAGAUGGGAUUAGCGAGUUGGUGGGGUAACGGCUCACCAAGGCGACGAGACCUAGCUGGUCUGAGAGGAUGACGAGCCACACGUGAACUGAGACACGGUACAGACUCCGACGGGAGGCAGCAGUGGGGAAUAGUGCACAAUGGGCGCAAGCCUGAUGCAGCCAUGCCGCGUGUAUGAAGAAGGCCUUCGGGUUGUAAAGUACUUUCAGCGGGGAGGCGUUACCCGCAGAAGAAGCACCGGCUAACUCCGUGCCAGCAGCCGCGGUAAUAC
rnacentral:rRNA from 1 species